rnacentral:rRNA from 1 species
UACGAAGGGGGCUAGCGUUGCUCGGAAUCACUGGGCGUAAAGCGCACGUAGGCGGCUUUUUAAGUCAGGGGUGAAACUCCUGGAGCUCAACUCCAGAACUGCCUUUGAUACUGAGAAGCUUGAGUCCGGGAGAGGUGAGUGGAACUGCGAGUGUAGAGGUGAAAUUCGUAGAUAUUCGGAAGAACACCAGUGGCGAAGGCGACUUCGCUGGACAGUUGUGUGACGCUGAGGUGCGAAAAGCGUGGG